rnacentral:rRNA from 1 species
AUACGGAGGGGGUUAGCGUUGUUCGGAAUUACUGGGCGUAAAGCGCGCGUAGGCGGAUUAGUAAGUUAGAGGUGAAAUCCCAGGGCUCAACCCUGGAACUGCCUUUAAUACUGCUAGUCUUGAGUUCGAGAGAGGUGAGUGGAAUUCCGAGUGUAGAGGUGAAAUUCGUAGAUAUUCGGAGGAACACCAGUGGCGAAGGCGGCUCACUGGCUCGAUACUGACGCUGAGGUGCGAAAGCGUGGGGAGCAAACAGGAUUAGAAACCCCGGUAGUCC